rfam:Ornithorhynchus anatinus chromosome 1, whole genome shotgun sequence.
CUUCUCUCAAGAUCAGACCUGGAGAGUUUCCAGUACACUACCAGUCUUGGCUAUGGGAGGAAGAGUCAAGCAGAGGCCUAUCUAUUCCAUUCUUAGCUUGGCCAGUGGUUAGUGAGUGGAAGGCAAUCUGCUACAAGU